rnacentral:rRNA from 1 species
AUGUUUAAAACAAAUGUUAAAACUUUCAACAACGGAUCUCUUGGUUCUCGCAUCGAUGAAGAACGCAGCGAAAUGCGAUAAGUAGUGUGAAUUGCAGAAUUCAGUGAAUCAUCGAAUCUUUGAACGCACAUUGCGCCUCCUGGUAUUCCGGGAGGCAUGCCUGUUCGAGCGUCA